GGCAUCUUGAGUACACACAGGCAGGUUUGCCAAUGAGAGGCUGGAAACGCCUGACUUCACGCGAACAUGUCGGCCAAUGGGAGAGCUCGGGAGCCAGACGCCGCCAAGCUUGUGCGGGGGAGAGAGGAGCGAAAGCCAGUCUGACAGAGGCGACUGUUGGGGCUGCUGUGGAAGGGGCGAGGGGGUAGGCUGUGUCGUAGCAGCCGGCGCGGACGGCGUUGCUGAGUCUGGGUAUGAACUUUUAGUUUCUGCUAAGAUGAUGAAAGACAGUUAUGAUGGCUGCAUUCACUUAUGAAGAAAAUAUUUCCGUAAUUGCACUACCAGUGUCUACCAUCAACUCACCAACUAAGAUUUUGCCAAAAACAUUUGCACCAAUAAAUAUGAAUGUUGGACCCCAAAUGAUUUUAAGCACACCGCAAAGGCUGACUAAUUCAGGGAAUGUUCUGAUUGGGAGUCCUUGCACUACAGCACCAGCUAUGAUCAUGCAGAUGCAUAUAACUGACAUCACUGGCUGGGUCCCAGGGGACAGAAAAAGAACUCAAGACUGUAUGGAAUCAGAUUUUUCAGAAAGUAAAAGAAGCAAAAAAGGAGAUAAAAAUGGAAAAGGUUUGAGGCAUUUUUCAAUGAAAGUAUGUGAAAAGGUCCAGCGUAAAGGAACAACAUCUUAUAAUGAAGUUGCAGAUGAGCUGGUAUUGGAGUUUACACAUUGUAAUAGCCAUUUAGCUACACAUUCAGCUUAUGAUCAGAAGAAUAUUAGGCGGAGAGUUUAUGAUGCCCUCAAUGUAUUGAUGGCCAUGAACAUUAUUUCAAAGGAGAAAAAAGAAAUCAAAUGGAUAGGUCUUCCUACAAACUCUGCUCAAGAAUGUCAAAACCUAGAGAUAGAGAAGCAACGACGUAUAGAACAAAUAAAACAGAAGAGAGCUCAGCUGCAAGACCUUCUACUGCAGCAAAUUGCUUUCAAAAACUUGGUACAAAGAAAUCAACAAAAGGAACAACAGACUUGGGGUGCUCCAGCUUUGAAUUCUAUAAUACAGCUGCCUUUUCUAGUAAUAAACACAAGCAAAAGGACAGUUAUAGAUUGCAGCAUCUCUCCUGACAAACUUGAAUACCUUUUUAAUUUUGAUAGUACUUUUGAGAUCCAUGAUGACACUGAAGUAUUAAAGCAAAUGGGAAUGUCACUUGGCCUAGAGGCAGGCAAAUGCUCAUCAGCAGACCUAAGAGCUGCUAAAUCAUUAGUGCCUAAAGCUUUAGAAAACUAUGUCACAGAUAUGUCUACAGGAAUUUAUUGGAUGAACCAGGAACUAGUUUUAAAUUCAUCUCAAGGAGGUUCCGCUUUGGUCACAACUGAGAAUACUGCUGGUUUUAAAACAAGAUAACGCAUACAACUCUGGGUUGCUCUGGAUACUUGAAUUGUUAUUAUUCCUCCCUUCACCGCUGCCACCAUUAGAUACUGUUUCUGUUCAGCCUUGGUAAUUACCUUGCCCUCCCUUCUGGGGCAGAAUGGAUCUCUUCUCCCGCCAACAUGUUAAGCCCAUGCAAACAUAGCCGACUGAAGCUGCGUACACUGUCUGUCAGGACAUCCAUUUACCUAGGCCAGCUCUCGUGCAUGGGUUGGUCCUCAGUUUGCAUGGAGUGUCAACACGUGUGUGUAUGCAUUUUUUUUUGUAGCCCUCACCAUUGAGCUACAAGUUGGGGAAGGAAGCUGGAAGCGGUUCUAGUAGGUUGGUUGCAUGGGGGCCUUCUGGGUCAAACAACUUCAUGAACCAGGGUGGCUGCUUGUGACAGUCUUGAGUGUCCCAGUGACUCCUGGCAACUCUGGGACACUCAUUAAAGGCUGUGACAGAUAAAAGUGGGAUGUCCUACUCCAGCAAGCUUUGACAAGCACAUGGUUAGUGUGCAACUGCACAUCUGCCUUCUGGGUCCAUGUGCAGAAUGGUUGAAUUGGCCCACAGUACUUUUUCUUCAGUGGAAAAAGACCUCUUUCAGAAAGGUCUGACAUAGUGAACAACAUACAGUUUUGCUUUCUGUAUCAUAGGUAUUACUUCCUUAGUUGUCCUCUUUUCCCCCCAAUGCAUCACAUAAGAAGUUAAUUGUCUUCCCUCUGGCCAAUUUUCAGGAUUAUCUGCUAAAGAACAUAUAUGUUUAAAGCCACCAUGUCUGAUAAGACUAUGUGACAUGGAAGCUAUUGAUGUAAGUUGUAUUCUAAUUGGGUUGCUGUGUACAAAAGUAGUAUAGAUUCAGACAGGCAGAUAUAUUUCCAGCCUGAAGUCUUCAAUUUUAACUAUUCUAAAUUGCAUAUUAGUAUUUCAACAGAUGAUCAUUUUUUCCCUUCUGCUGUCCAUUAUUAAGCAGUGGAACAAUGGUCCCUGUGUAACUGCUAGUUUAAGUCAGAAAUGAAGAAAGUAUAUUGAAAGAGUUUAAGUUUUUUUAAAGAUGACAGUACAAAAUAUUGAUAUUUUAACUGAUCUGUGGCAUUUCUUUACUCUUGUUUUUUAAAUGAAAUGAUAAUGUGAGGUUAAAUGAUAGAAAAAAUGUAAAUUCUUAAGUUACUAUCAAAUCCAAGCAGCUUUAGUUUACAAAUAUAUUCUAAAUCAUAAUAAACUUUCUAAAUGUAUGCUAGACCCAUGAAAUAUUAAUAAAUUAUUUAAAUAAAAUGCAACACUUCAAAGUUUUGUUCUAAUUGGAUUGCUGAAUAGCUGAAAAGGACUGAAAAGGAAAAUAUUUGAGAAAAUUACUGAUCUCAGGUUUUAAAAUGAUCUAUAAAGCCAUAAUAAUCUUUGCUGCAAACCAUAUAGUGCUGAUAGGGAAAAAAGAAACUGGUGUCUUGAAGAGUAGCAGUGAAUGUGACCAUAGUAAUGACUACAAUCAUCUAAAGAGCCUUUUUUCUUUUUUUUAUACGUGUGAUAAAUGAAGUAGUUUCAACCAAAAGUACUGUGAUCUGAUUCUAGGAAAAUUAAAAGGAAUGUUUUAGUUUAAGAUGCUAUAUACUUUUUUUUUUUUACAGAGUAUUAACAUGAAAAAGAACAAGUCUAUUUUUAGUCUUAGGAGUAUAUUGCCACUUGGGAGCUAGCAAAAGUCUGUUCCAAGUUUUUAAAUUGCUUACUGUGCGAGAUUUGGCAGACCAUUAGUCAGUCUUUCAUAUAUCUCAAAUGCAAGAUUUCGCCAAGUUCCAGGCAUAGUGCUUUGAAUAGAGCUCUAAUUGAACAACCCUUACUAUGUCAGAAUGCUGGCCAAAUGAGGAGGUGCCCAUUUUCUUUCAUUCAAAGUGUGAAGGUAAGGUAGAAUGAAAAUGAGGUCACUUUGGCCUUCACUCCAGCUUUCUAAACUGCUUUGUAGCUUCUGUGUAACUGAAGCAAAAACAGCACAUUAUGGUAGGAGAUACAUAUCUUUUUAAUGUGGUCCUGCCCAUUCACUGUAAACAGAGGGUUUGAGGGAUAAGUUCUCCCUGUUACGUUAUCCUUCCAGGACUUUUCUCCCAGUUGGCUUUUAGUACCAGAAGUAAACUGCCAGGGAAAAGUAGCAAAGAAGCUGAGGACAGGAUGAAGGUCCCAUGAGAAUCCAUCUGCAUGCCCCCUUGGCCUUUUAAAUUAUACCCCCAAAAUAUGCAGAGCCGUAUUUAUAAAGAUGGUGUUCUACCUUCAUCAUUUCAGCCUCAUAGCAAGUAAAAUAUAACAUAAUAUGCUGCCAGUUGGAUUUCUAGGGGGAAAUUAUUCUAAUAUAGCAUUUGCUCCAUAUCUAAACCUGCUGAAUUCAGGAAACAUGAACAAAUCCACUGCUCUGCCCCUCUACACGGGGGGUUGUGUCUAAUGUACGUGUGAUUGUGAAGCAGAUUUCUGCUUGAGCAACAGGACUUCACCUUCCUAUCCUCCUCACAGUCUUCUGCAUGCUCUCAAAAUUCGUUCUGGAGGAUUGAGGGAUCAUCCAGAGUAGAUUUUAGGUGUGUGCAGGGUCUGCAGAGGAAAAGUGAAGUCCCCUGUGUGAGCAGAAAACUAUUUGCAGAGUGUUGGAUUCUGCCCAGAAGCUAGAAUGAUAUUAAGCUACAUGCAGGUGUUCAAACGUUCCUUACAGAUUUGUAGAGCAGGUCUGCAGACCCGUAUCUAUGUGUACAAAUGGACAUAAUAAUAGUGCAGGGUGGAAAAUAGGUCUAACCUUUCAAAGUUAGCUAUCUGUAUCUUCAUUCAGGUGUUUGUGUUUACAUAUACAUGCCUGCAUUGCGUGUGCUCUAUUUACACACACAGCCUAGUUUCAUUUAGAAAGGGCAGUAGGGGCAGUCAACCUCUUUCCUGUGUUUACGCCCACAGACAAUUCCUCAGGAAUAAUAUUUGGUGGUUAUGAGGUAUAAAAAAUAACUGCAACAAAUUAUCUUAAAAUACACCUUAAAUAACACCCAGAAUUUAAUCAGAGUAUAUCCAGGAGCAGGCCUUUGAACGUCGUCGUGGGUUUGUUUUUUAUGCUUCCAGGUUGGAAAUGAGAAUCAGUUUUAUGUAUAAAUCUUCCUCCUUGCAAAAAGAAAAUCGCACACAUGGCAUUCGUACAAUUCAUGUAUGUGUUUCUGAAUCUAGUAGAUUGUUUUGGGUGCACAGGCUUAUUUCCAGGUCUUUGGAAUUACAUAAUAUGACCUGUAAUCAACAUAAUUACCUGUAUGCAAUUUUAUAUCUCAGACAUUCGAUAUAUUUAAGGGAAAGGGUGGGGAACCUAUGGCCCUCCAGCUCUUGCUGGACUAAAACUCCCAUCAUCCCUGACAAUUACCCAUGCUGCCUGGGACUGAUGGGGAGUUGUGGCCGUAGUAGCAGCUGGGGUACAAGUUCCACAUCCCUGUUGUAGGGCAAAUUUUUUUGAAGUGAAAGAUUACAUUAAAUAACUAGGCUUGCAGAUUUUGUGGUUCAAGAAGACGUUUCCUUUACAUAUGUGCCAAGACAGUCUAAAUACUGUGCCAGGAAAAGUUGAAUUUCAUUCUCUCGUUCAUAUUUGAAAUAUUUACUGUUCUGCAUUUAAUUUAGUCUGGUUUUGUUGGAGAAAGGCACAAAGUUAGAUAGGGCAUUAUGGCCCUACCUCCACCACUGAAGCUCUUAUUCAGCAAGUAUUCUGGUUACUGAGACCUGAGUAGGCAUUUAUUCACAACUUUCAAGCAUGUCUGCAUAACCACAAGGGCUGGAAAGUUGUUUUUAUGGUGUGUAUUUUUAAUGAGAGCCUUGCAAAGCUGAAUUCUGUACCUCAUAACCAUAUUCUGUGAUUUUUCCCUACAAACAUACACUCUUAUGAAA